rnacentral:rRNA from 1 species
UACGUAGGCAGCGAGCGUUGUUCGGAGUUACUGGGCGUAAAGGGUGUGUAGGCGGUUUUCUAAGUUUGGUGUGAAAUCUCCCGGCUCAACCGGGAGGGUGCGCCGAAAACUGGGAGACUAGAGUGCGGGAUGGGAGGAGUAGAAUUCCUGGUGUAGCGGUGAAAUGACGUAGAGAUCGGGAGGAACAUCAGUUGCGAAGGGCGGCUCUCUGGACCAGCACUGACACUGAGGCACGAAAGCGUGGGGAGCAAACAGGGA